GAUGAACGCUAGCGGCAGGCUUAAUACAUGCAAGUCGAGGGGCAGCAGGGCGUAGCAAUACGCUGCUGGCGACCGGCAAACGGGUGCGGAACACGUACGCAACCUUCCUUUAAGUGGGGGAUAGCCCAGGGAAACUUGGAUUAAUACCUCGUAAUAUUAUGAAACGGCAUCGUUUUAUAAUUAUAGCUCCGGCGCUUAAAGAUGGGCGUGCGCCUGAUUAGGUAGUUGGCGGGGUAACGGCCCACCAAGCCUUCGAUCAGUAACUGGUGUGAGAGCACGACCAGUCACACGGGCACUGAGACACGGGCCCGACUCCUACGGGAGGCAGCAGUAAGGAAUAUUGGUCAAUGGACGCAAGUCUGAACCAGCCAUGCCGCGUGGAGGAUGAAGGUCCUCUGGAUUGUAAACUUCUUUUAUCUGGGAAGAAACCCAUGUUUUCCAACGUGGUUGACGGUACCAGAUGAAUAAGCACCGGUUAACUCCGUGCCAGCCGCCGCAGUAAUAC
rnacentral:rRNA from 1 species